rnacentral:rRNA from 1 species
UACGUAGGUGGCAAGCGUUGUCCGGAUUUACUGGGCGUAAAGCGCGCGUAGGCGGCCUGCUAAGUCUGGGGUGAAAUCUCCCGGCUCAACCGGGAGGGGUCUUCGGAUACUGGUGGGCUUGAGGGCAGCAGAGGAAGGUGGAAUUCCCGGUGUAGUGGUGAAAUGCGUAGAUAUCGGGAGGAACACCAGUGGCGAAGGCGGCCUUCUGGGCUGUACCUGACGCUGAGGCGCGAAAGCGUGGGGAGCGAACCGG